UACGUAGGGGGCAAGCGUUGUCCGGAUUUAUUGGGCGUAAAGAGCGUGUAGGCGGCUUGGUAGGUCCGCUGUGAAAACUCGAGGCUCAACCUCGAGAUGUCGGCGGAAACCACUUGGCUAGAGUCCGGAAGAGGAGAGUGGAAUUCCCGGUGUAGCGGUGAAAUGCGCAGAUAUCGGGAAGAACACCUAUGGCGAAGGCAGCUCGCUGGGACGGUACUGACGCUGAGACGCGAAAGCGUGGGGAGCAAACAGG
rnacentral:rRNA from 1 species